rnacentral:rRNA from 1 species
GAUGAACGCUGGCGGCGUGCUUAACACAUGCAAGUCGAACGGAAAGGCCCAAGCUUUCUUGGUUCCUCGAGUGGCGAACGGGUGAGUAACACGUGGGUGAUCUGCCCUGCACUUCGUGAUAAGCCUGGGGAACUGGGUCUAAUACCGGGUAGGACCACUUCUUGCACGUUGUGGUGGAAAGUUUUUGCGGUGUGGGAUGAGUUAGCGGCGUAUCCGCUUUUUGGUGGGGUAGUGGCGUACCAAGGCGUAGACGGGGAGCCGGCCUGAGAGGGUGUACGGGCACAUUGGACCUGAGAGACGGGCCAGACUGCUGCGGGGGGCAGCAGUGGGGAAUAUUGCACAAUGGGCGCAAGCGUGAUGCAGGGACGCCGCGGGGGGGGUGACGGCUUUCGGGUUGUAAACUCCUAUCGCUAGGGACGAAGCGUUUUUGUGACGGUACCUGGAGAAGAAGCACCGGCUAACUACGUG